rnacentral:lncRNA from 1 species
CCCUGGGUUCAAGGACCCCAGAAGGCAGAGUGUUGUUGUUGGGCUCUGAGAAUGUUACCUUGAGUUCCAGAAUGUUCUUUUUUCCCAUUUUGUGGGAUUUUCACACGUCUUAGUACUCAAGCAGGGCAGACCAAGAGGACUUUGAUCCCACCAACAUCUGGUAGAAUAAACUGUUACUGCAUGAGGGGCCUCGUGGAGGCCUCCUCUCCACUCUUUCGACCAAAAGUGGUCUGCCUAAAAGCAAGAUGCUCUCACACACCUGGGGAGGCAGGGAGCAGCAGACGUGGAAAGGUCCAGGGCAGAGGUGGAAGCCUCUGGUCCUUUUUCCCUGUUGCUGAGAGUGGCCUUGGAAACCCUCAGUAAUACUCUGUACACCCAGGAGGCCGUACACCCAGGGAGGCCAGAAGAGAAACCAGAGCAGCUCCACAGCCCAGGCCUGGAGGGGAAGCCAGAGGGAGUUUAUGCAGCAGGAGCCCUGGGCCGGCCCCGCCCGGCUGCCUGCCUGACUGAGGGCUGCCUCUGCAGUUGAGUCGUCCCCAUCCCCUGGGGGACUGUUUUCUCUAAUAAUCCUUUAAUAUUAGGAAAUAUCUGUCAGUGUUUACAAUUUCCUGAAUGUCUUCAAUUUGCU